ensembl:lncRNA
GAGAAUAGCUUUUAAUUUAAAACAAUUGAAGCAAUAAAUCAUCCAUCUCUCUUUCCAUCACAGGCAAAUACUCUCCCAAAACAUUUGAUAUAGUUUAACAACAACUGUGACUAGUGCAAAAUCAAAUAAAUACAAACUCUUUCAGGAGCCAACAUCAAAACCUGCUGGACAGGUAGGCACAGGAACAGACUCAGCCUCUGCUAAGGCUAAGACAAGCGGCACAUUGAGAGUGGCAGGAUUUGUGCAGUGUUUCAACACACUCAGCUUUGAACAGACUCAACAAUACCUGGGGAGGGGAAACCACAAGACAAUUUUGCCUACAAUGAAACAAAUAUGCCCAACACCCUCAUGUGGCUAAUAUCUUUGGCAUCUAGAAGAUGCUAGCAAAGGUGCAAAGGUAGCAGCUCCCAGGCAAAGCUGAAGACAGGCAGUUUGGCCUCAUUUGCUUUUGUCUUUUAAUUGGGAUCAUACAUAUAUACUGGUUUUUCGGCAGAAAAAAAAAAAAUCUGCUUUCUAGGAGAUGUUCGGUGCCUCAUAGUGCUCCUGACUCCAGCAAACAUAUUUGUGUUGUUUCUGUUUAUUUAGAUGCUUUGCAGAAUUGCCUUUCCUAUUUACAGAUUUCACCGCCUACCUCACACCAUGUAAGUCUAGAGUGGGGCUGUCCAAUAGAAGUAUAACGUUAUCCAGAUAUCUAAUUUUAAAUUCUUUAGGGGAUACAUUUUUUUAAAGAUAAAAAUGGGUGAAAAGAAUUUUAAUAAUACAUAUUACAUUGUUAAUAUUUUACCUAAUACAUCAAAAAUAGUGUCAUUUCAGCAUGUUAUCAAUAUGAAAUACUUUAAAUUCCUUUUUGGUACCAAGCCUUGAAAAUCUGAUGUGUAUUUUAUGUAUACAGCACAGUCUCGAUUUGAACAAGCCAAAUUUUGAGUAGUCAUCGUCACAUAUGGCUGUUGACUGCCACAUUGAAUAGCACAGGCCUACAGAGUCUUAUGCAAACUCUUUUAGAGUCAUUUACGGAGUGGAAAAUCUCUGUGACACUGCGCUGGUGAUCUCAGACACCAACUCAAGAGUACAGAACCUUGUUGUAUAGCCUAGGAUUUUUUUUAAAUCUAAAGUAAGGAUAUUAUCACACUUUAUCUAAUCCCAUCCCCUGCUCCUGCCCCUGCCCCCUGCCACCUCCCCACAGAAGGCCUGUACUGAUGUGAUUUAGCAACAGUGAUGCCUACAAGAUGACAAAGACGGCCUUUCUGUGGGAGACAAUUGUGUCAGCACUUAUUUGGGGAUCAUAGCUCUAACUGAAUUAAAAUUUUGUUUCCCAUCCUCUUCUAGAAUUUUAAAAUAUUCUAUAAAGGUGACAGAUUUAGUUGAAGGCAGUUCUGAGGCUUUUCUAGGAGGACAUUUUAAAUGGAUUUUUGUUUUGUUUUUGAGGGGGAUGGAGCCAAAGUACCUCAUGGACUGGAAAGUUGUUUGUUUCAAGAGUAGAAAAAAGUGGGGCCGGACGCGGCAGCUCAUGCGUGUAAUCCCAGCACUUUGAGAGGCUGAGGCAGGUUGAGGUCAAGAGCUCAAGACCAGCCUGGCCAACAUGGCAAAACCCUGUCUCUACUAAAAGUAGAAAAAUUAGCCAGGCUUAGUGGCGUGCACAAGUAAUCCCGGCUACUUGGGAAGCUGAGGCAGGAGAACCACUUGAACCUGGGAGGCAGAGGUUGCAGUGAGCUGAGAUUGCACCACUGAACUCCAGCCUGGGCAACAGAGAGAGACUCUGUCUCAAAAAAAAAAAAAAAGAAGUGGGAUGACUACCCAAAAAAGUAUAGAUAAGUGGAGUAGGAAUACAGAGGGGUGUCAGGGGCACUAAGAAUAACACAGGUCCUCAACUGGGGAGUAUAAGCUGUAACAAUGCAAAAAUACAACAUCCAAACCUCUAAGUGAUCCCUCAUAUUUCACAUUGUCAGACUCUAGUGGUAACCACAGGAAAAUAAAAAUAAAACAUUAGGGCAAGAGAGGACUUCUGAGCUAAUCUAGCCUAACCUACUUGUUUCAAACAAAAAGGCCCAGAGAGGUACAGUGAUUCAGUACCACCUCACUUAGAGUGGAGUCAGGAUCCAGACCCAGGUGCUCU